rnacentral:tRNA from 1 species
CCACCGCUCCGGAGGCCCCGGCCGUUCCGGGCGCUCCGGCCGCUCCGGUGGCGCAGGUCGCCCCCGCGGCGGCGGCC